AUGACCACAUCACAUUGAAACACUGGUUCCUGUAUGAUCACCAAAGUUAAGUAAUGUUGAGCCUAGUCAGUACCUAUAUGGGUGACUGCUUGGAAAUACCAAGUGCUGUAA
rnacentral:rRNA from 1 species